AUGCUCAACCUGAUGUCGAUGCUUGUCUUUAUGGGUUACUUUACCCAAGUUGAGCAGAAGUUCAUGGUCUCUGGUCAUUCUUUUCUACCUUGUGACCGAUCUUUUGCCACCAUGGAGAAGAGGCGCAAGGUGUCAGUCCUUCAUACACCUGAUGAUGUUUCAAAGAUGAUACUUGAAGCACAACCAGCAAAACCAUUCAAGGUGAUGAGGAUGCAAUGUGAAGACUUCAGGCACCUCCCAGAUUCUGUCCUCAAGCGACCAGCUGGACUACAGACCACCUCAGUGAGGUGGUUAAAAGUCACAGUUGAGGAUCCUUGGAAUCUGUACGCCAGACAGAGCCACAGUCUAUUUGAGGGAUGGAAAUCGUGGCUGAUCUCCAAACCAAAACAAGGAGCUACACCUCAACCUCCCUAUUUUGCAAGCCACUACCCUAGAGCAUAUGAGAGUCCUCUGCCCAUCAAAAAAAACAAGUACCAAGAUCUGAUGACCUUCUCAACUACAUGCCAGCUGCUGCACGCUCUUUUUAUAAAUCACUGCAGAGUGAAUCAUUUGUUGUUAAACCAAGCUACAUAAUUAACAGUUUUUUUCUGUGAGUUUAUGAUCCCCUGAACCUGGUAUAGUAUGUUGAAUCUGAAUACAUUUCAGAAGACAUGUCACCCCUAUUGUAGGAAAUUAAUUGUAUAGUAGGUGUCUAUGUGAAUCAAUUUGUGUAUGAUUUGAACCAGCACAAUAUAUUGAAUUAAUUUAAUUUUAAGAUGUUGUUCCUCGUGUAGAAAAUGUUAUGUACAAUGUGUUCUUUUGAGAAUUAUUUUGUGUGUGAUCAUUUGGACCUUUUUUAAUCUGAAUGAAUUAAAAACCAAUAAGUCGUCACAUACAGUAUGUGAGUAUUCAUUUGAUCUUGAUUCCCUUUUUUAAAUUCAUUACAAUAUACAGUACAUCUCUCUGUCACCACAUUUAGCAUGAACUCUAAGCAGUUAAUACUUAUUUACUGCUGUCACCUCAGUACAGAAGGACAUGUCUUGCCUUUAGCAUGGGUUUAACGCAAUUCAAAACCUAAUUGCUGAUCAUAGUGUUAAACGCAAAGAGAAUGGUUUUCUGAACGUUUUGUAAUAUUGACCUUAGGGACCUGCAUAAUGGACAUGCAUAUUGGCACAUCACAUUGAUCCAUUUUUAAUAUGUACAAGUUGUUCUUGUUUUGAUUGAAUUAAUUUAAUUGUAUUCUAUUUUUGUAGUUAUUCUAUGGUAUGUUCACAUUGAUUUCAUGACUCAACUUUUAAGAAAAGUCAUCAGUGCUAAAGUUGAUAGACCACCUUUAAAUGAACCUCCAUACUAAUGAAUUAACUACAUAUUGCAUUUAAGUUAUUUACAUGAAGGGCAUCUGUACUUGAAAGUACUUUAAACAUCAUAUCAGUUGUUAAAAAAGGACAUCUUACAAGAGUCAUGCAAAAUGUCACAUAUACUGUUCUUCCACAAACUGAAAUCAUCACUGGAGAUGUACUGUUCUUCCACAAACUGAAAUCAUCACUGGAGAUAUACUGUUCUUCCACAUUCUAAAAAUUAAAACGGCAAUAAAAAAAGUAUUUUUUGAAAUAACAAAUAAAUAUAAUUUGUUGGAAGAUAUGGGUAUGGUGAAUUAUUUGUCAACCAUAACACCUAAUGUACACACAAUUAAUAAUAUACAAAUAACUGAUUAUCUUAAAAUGGAAAACAUUUCACAUAUGGUUCUUCAUCUGUAGGAUUCAAUUGAGAAAUACUUAAUCAAAGCUGGCAUAUUUAUGACAUUUUGGGCCU
ensembl:lncRNA